GGAUGUGAGGGCGAUCUGGAUGUGACAUCUAUCACCACAUUGAUGGCCAGGGUUGAUUUGGAUGAUUUGGCUGGCUAGGAGGGUGUCCUUUUCCUCCCUCGCCACUCCCUGUGCAUCCCUCCAGUCCCCGAUAAAGGAGGACCAUUCUGUGGUCAAGGGUAUACGAGUAGCUGUGCUCCCCUGCUAGAACCUCCAAACAAGCUCUCAAAGAGUUCAUUUGGAAGCCAACAAACAUUCUGAAUUUUUUUUGUUCUUCUUCAACUUAUAGGCAAAAGUAUUC
rnacentral:snRNA from 1 species